GUGAACUGCAUCUGCCACUUGGAUCCUUACUUAAUUAAAGGCUAGAAAUCAUUGCAUUUCUCUGGAACAGGCUUAUACGCCUUGGGUUGCAGGAAAGGACGGUUAAAUGUGUUAACUGGAAAACUUAUGCAACCAAGGGUUAAAAUAGCCUUGAAGCUAAAACCAAAGAAUUCUGGCCUCUGGUGUGUGAUGCAAAGCCAAGAGUGUUUGCCUUUGUGAGCACAGGAAUGCUGGUGAGCCUUGUUUGUUGUGGAAACUGACAUGAUCAAAGUGAGGAGAAUUAAAACGAUCCAUCAGAAUAACAGUCAAGGCUGUAUAUGAGCUCCCCAGACACCCUUGAACCUGAAGUCUCCCAUGGAGGACAGACAAGCCAGCUGACAGCAGCUGGGAAGAAACAAAAUGCAUCUCUCUAAGCAGAGGAGUGCAGCUGGGAGAUAAAGACCUUGGGUGGGCACUCUAGAUGAGGGUUCAGAUUUGGCAGACAGAAUAGUGAAACGAUAUGCUGACCUUGUGGUCUUUAGGAUUGUGCAACACCAAGGUUGUGGUUUUCAGGUGUCAGAUUUUAGAGUGGAAUUACUAAGUGAGGCAGGCACUUGUAGAAUUAAAGCUUUUGGGGGUGGGGAAACCAUGCUAAUUGAGAUGAGAUUCUGUGCCAAUUGCACUGGAGUGUUCUAAGGCAUGAUGUCAUGCUUCUUAAUUUAUCAAAUGUUGAAACAUUCUUAUUAUGAUUAAGUAGAAUUAAGGGUCCCUAAGUGGAUGGCAUGAUUUCGGAUUGUUUGCUCACUUAAUCCUUUAUCCCGGGAUGAAAAUUAAUAAAACUCUUCGAUAUUCUACAAAGUAUGAAAUGACCUUGGCGCCCCAACUGUUGCUUAAUUACAAUGCCUAAUCAAGGAAUCUACAGAAUCAUAAAAAAGAAAGGUUGGAUAAGAUUUUAAGGAAGUCCAGUCCUGCUCACAUAUUUUAGAGAUGUGGAAACUGAGGACUGGAAAAAGGAAAUGACUUGCUCAAUACUACACAGAGUCUUCUGCUUUGCAUGUCAAUGCUUGCCUGUUGCCAUGCCAAAGAAUCCCCAGCAAACAGACUACUGGCCUAGAAUAAUGUCCAAAUGGAGACAGAGUCCCUUUCUGGGCAUCUGUAAUUUGAAAUGCUGCAGGAGUUAUCACUCUGUUUUUAUUUUUGAAAACUAUAAUAAGGAUCCUGCUUUUUGUUUUCUUUUUUGUGUAUAUUGCUUAUCUUUUAAUCUCUAUUCCUCCCAGGGCAUUUUUUCACCAGGACUCCUGAACAGAAGUAGGUAGGUAAAUGUAGAAUGAGGAUUUUAUAAAGAUCACUAAUAUACCCAAUACUGAGCCCAAUGAGAUAAUUUAGUAAUCAACAUACCUUAUGUUGAGCCCUUUGCAAAUCACAAAGCGCUUUUUAUUCUCUCCUUCUAUUAAUCCCUACACAGUCAUAUGAGGGAGGCAGAGCGGUUAUUAUUAUCAUCCGUCUUACGGAGGCACUAAGUGAGACCAAAGGAGCCCAGCGACUUGCCCCGCGGCGCACAGCCCCAGAGCAGCUGAGUAGAGAGCCCCGGGGCGGGUUUCAGCUCCUCAGGACCCUCGAUUUAGGCGCCUCUCACGGCGGCAUGCAGAGCACAACCGUGGAUCCUCCGGGGUACAUGCUCUGAACUCUAGAUUUGGUGGACGUUUCAGGAAAUUCUGCAAAAAGGCAGGCUAAGAAUCUAGGAGGAUCGCAGAGAAAUGCUCAGACGGUGCGGGGGAGGGGAAGGCAGUCCGAAGAUCUUGCAUUUAAAAAGGGACCUCAUUAGUGACUUCAUGAAAUCCAAGGGUUCCACAUAUCAUUACUGAAGUGGAUUCAUUUCCACUAUGAGGAGAUGUCAGUUUCACUUGCUCGCAGGAUCAUAGGAUGCCAGGUACAGAGGCCUCGCCACCGGCACUUCAGACCAGAGUACGCAGGGUGAAACAACCCAGCAGACACCUCAGCUCUGUGAGAAGCUCCGAACACACUGCAAUUCAAGAUGGCAGCGGUGGCGGGUCGUGUGCAGAGGCGCUGUGCUCGGCACUUUGAUCUGGCGGGAGCACCUGGAGCAACCUGGCCACACCUGCUCCGCCAGGAGUGAACUCUGGGCCCCUCCCUGCAGACAAGAUGCUUAUAAUUCAACCCCUGGGAGGGCCUUUCUGGGGGAUCUUGUACCUUGGAGCGCUAGCUUGUGGUACCUCUCCAUUCUUUGAUUAAAGAAUAAAACUUUCCUUUUCUUUAUUCCUGGCCGAGCCCUUGGCACUCGGAAGUUCCCAGGCCAGGGACUGAAUCUGCGACACAGCAGUGACAACAUUGGAUCCUUAAUCUGUUGCGCGAAACGGGGACUCCUAAAGCUUUACUUUGUUUCUGUGUCAAACUUGGUCUCAUUCUACUGGCUCAAACAACAGGGGGCUUGGCCACAUUUAAACUGCUUAGUAGCCAUAUGUGGCCAGGGAUUAUAGCAUCAGACAAUACGGUGUAUACAUUUCCGCCAUCACUGGUCUAAACAGUACUUGGAACUUAGUGGUUGCUCAAUAAAUAUUAGCUGAGUGAAGAGGUUGAAUAAACAAAGAAUACAGAGAACUCUACCCAAUAUUCUGUGAUAAUCUGUGGGAAAAGAAUCUGUAAGGAAAUGGAUGUGUGUACGUGUGUAACUGAAUCAUUUCGUUGUACAGCAGCAAUUAUCACAACAUUGUAAAUCAGCUGUUCUUCAAUAAAACUUUAAAAAAAUGGAAAAAAAUAUGCAUGUAAUGUUAGAAGUUCCUUUGUGAUGCAGCAAGCUAAGGACCUAGCUGGGAAAAAAAAUUUACCUUGCCUACUUCACAGAGUUUUUUUGAGAAUCAAAAGCUCUUUUCAAAUGGUGAGUAAUCUAGGCAUGUUGAAGAACUCUUAUUUUAAUGAUGGCUUCCAAACAACAAACACUUCAGUAGACUUUUGUUCUAUGAAUACACAGUGAACUUUACGUAUUUUAGGAAUGGUGUUUCCUCGUAGUCAUUGUUUCUGUAGUUAAACAAAACUUCCCUUUUGAUUACAGGAAAAUGGUAAACUUGACAUAACUGUAUGGCCUUGUUUGUUUUUCUUCCUUUUUCCCUCUCAACCUUUGGAUUCUCUGUUCAAAACCCCUUCGGGAUCACUCCUAGGAACAUUUUUUAUAGUAAGUCUGUAUUAGGGAAACAAUGUGGGGAGUGUGUGUGUGUGUGUGUGUGUGUGUGUGGUUGUGAGCAGAGCUGGAAGUCAAGGGACUUAUAAUCCACUUGCAGUGGUUUCCCAAGCAACCUAAGUGAAUGACAAAAAGCUGCUUUCAAUAACAGGAGUAAAAUUGACUUGAAUUCUUUGUAAUUUGACUUUGCUUAUUAAGUUUUUAAAACUUCACUGCUAAUUGAAGUAUUUAUUACUCUCGGAACUAACAGUUACAUUGUUUGAAUCAGUGCCUUACACUUAAAUCCGUCUCCUCAAUUUACCAAAGAUGUCUAUGUCGUUUCACUUUGGUUUUAGAACAAUCUUGAAGGGCUGAUAGGGCAGACAUAAUUCUUACAACUUUGUGGAAAAACCAGUUUAGAGCAUUUUGUGUGAGUGGUUUGCUUCAGAUUGUACAGUUUACGAAAAGCAAAAUAGGGCUAAAACCCAGGACUUCUAAUACUUCCUCCUUUACAUUCUGCUGCCUAAUUUACUGUGAAGGGGAAUUAAUCAAUGGAGAGGUAGGCAGAUAUGGACACUGA